CAGCAGCCGCGGUAAUACGUAGGGUGCAAGCGUUAAUCGGAAUUACUGGGCGUAAAGCGUGCGCAGGCGGUUAUAUAAGACAGAUGUGAAAUCCCCGGGCUCAACCUGGGAACUGCAUUUGUGACUGUAUAGCUAGAGUACGGCAGAGGGGGAUGGAAUUCCGCGUGUAGCAGUGAAAUGCGUAGAUAUGCGGAGGAACACCGAUGGCGAAGGCAAUCCCCUGGGCCUGUACUGUCGCUCAUGCACGAAAGCGUGGGGAGCAAACAGGAUUAGAUACCCCCGUAGUCCCUGUCUCUUAUAC
rnacentral:rRNA from 1 species